UGGGGAAUAUUGGACAAUGGGCGAAAGCCUGAUCCAGCCAUGCCGCGUGCGUGAAGAAGGUCUUCGGAUUGUAAAGCACUUUAAGUUGGGAGGAAGGGCAGUAAGCGAAUACCUUGCUGUUUUGACGAUACCGACAGAAUAAGCACCGGCUAACUCUGUGCCAGCAGCCGCGGUAAUACAGAGGGUGCAAGCGUUAAUCGGAAUUACUGGGCGUAAAGCGCGCGUAGGUGGUUCGUUAAGUUGAAUGUGAAAGCCCCGGGCUCAACCUGGGAACUGCAUCCAAAACUGGCGAGCUAGAGUAGGGCAGAGGGUGGUGGAAUUUCCUGUGUAGCGGUGAAAUGCGUAGAUAUAGGAAGGAACACCAGUGGCGAAGGCGACCACCUGGGCUCAUACUGACACUGAGGUGCGAAAGCGUGGGGAGCAAACAGG
rnacentral:rRNA from 1 species